UGAUUAAACUUUAGCUUUAAUAACAUAAAGCUACAUAAUCCUUUUUUUUAAAUAACGUGACUAUAGGGCCAAAAAAAUUGGCUUUACAUUAAAAUACAUAAUGGAUCUCUUAUUUCCUGGGGGCUCUAAAUGCAACAAAACAAUCUUGCUUCUUAUUGGCCAUUGUGAUUGAUCAGUGUCUUAUGUGUAACUGGAGUAAAUACAGAGGACAGCUGAGUUUGCAUGCAGAGAGUCAUAAACUACAUAAAACUAAAUCACAAAUAAAUUUGUUUUCUGCAGUUGAACAUACUGUAAUUUCACAAUGUUACCGUUAGAUUUUUUUUUGUCAAUCCCACACACACAAAAAAGGACAUUCAGAGAGAUUCUCGUAGAGGUUUUGCUGAAUAACUGGCAUAAAAGAGGAAAACCUAAAGUAUGAUCCACACCACACAGCAUAACAUUGUGCCGCGGUCAUGACCAAGAACUGGACAGAAAAUGAAUCAAAUAACUCAACUAAAGUCCUACAAAACAUUUUUGAAAUGCCAUCAGAAAGUCUGCAGAUUUAAUAACCAAGGCCAGUUUCAAAACUGGAAGAAUGUUUAGCUGUACUGAGUAAAUAAAUAAAUGAAGGGUGAAUCGAGACUGAUUCGCAGUUCUGUAUCUUGGCAUCUAUCUUGACAUAUUGAGAAGAUGUACAGAUGUGAACAUUAUUUCUGUAAUUAAAUCAAAAAGGUGAAAAUUAUGAUAUAAAGACAAAUUUUCUACACACUGACUUAUUUUAGAUGCAUAUUUGUUAUUGUUGCUUAUAGGUAAUAAAUGCCCCAAAAUGUAGUUUUUCAAAGCAAAAAAAAAUUAAUUGGAUUUAAUGUUCCAUGUAUACGUUCAUGUACUGUAUAAUUUUUACAUAAUACACUGUUGAGGCUCAGUGUGUGACCCAUAGUGCUGCUGAGGAGGCUUGGGAAGCCCGGGCUGCUUUUAACAGCCUUCAGCUCGUCUCAUCUUUGUCCCAAUAAUACUUAAUAGCUUCAUUCUGGGGUUUUACACUGUGAGAUAAUGGGCAUUAAAACAGGUAUAUUGCUACUUUUGUCAGUGUGGGAAAUACUAAAUCUUGAUUGAAAAUCCAAUUAACAUUUCUAUGUCUGUAGAUGGAGGCACUUAACAAAAAGGAUCAACACCAGCAACACCGAAAUCAUUACCUCCUGUGGAAAACUGGAUUUUGAAAGUUACACUUUUCAUAAUAUACUGAAAGUUGUUGAAGGAUAAAUUCUUGUUUGUUUUAGCUAUUAUGUCUGUUAUAGAGCUUCAUUCGCACAGCUUUUUGAAGCUCAGCAAACACUUUACUUCUGUGAAGAAAGAAAAAGAUCAAAUGUCCUGACAUAUCCCGAGUUUUACAUCCACAGAUGCCACCAGGAAGGGGCGUAGAAAACUCCCAAUACAGCUUGUUUUCAAAGUAGAUUAAACUACAGGAUAUAAAUUUAGAUGCACUUGAGUAUUACUUGCACCACUUAGUUUCCAAGGUAACUGCAAGGGUAUAUUUAGAGAGCACAAAACUGAGAAAGAAGAAAAAAAUUGUUAAUAAUCUUGAUGAAGCAAUUACAAUUAGCCAAACUUAAAUAGUAAAGAUCAAAACGCCUCAUCUGCUUACAGUUGAAGGUGAGAGAAUGCUCAAGAACAACCACCCAGCUCAUUCAGCACCACUUCUGACACUUGCGUCAUUCAGUAUUUAGUGGCAUUACUGAUUCAUAUGGUGCAGUAGAGGUUGCACUUGAGCUACUCAUCAAGGGAGGUUCACGGAAAAUACAGACGUCAAUGAAAAAAAAAAUUCUGUGCUGGUUUUACAUAUUAAGCUUCUGGGCAGCAACAACUUCAGGUGCCAUCAUACAUAGCUUGAACGUGUUGUAAACAAGCACAAUUGUUGUCUGGACAAUGAGAUAGCUUUUUGACAUUUUUAUUUUGAGCUGUUAGGUAACAAAAACAACAACCAUGUCCUUAUUUGACAAUUAUUAUAAGGACAUAACAGAAAAAGUCUGGUCCUACUUUGUAAAAUCUCUUUUUUUUGCCUUUUCUUAGGACCUUUUAAAGAUAUUACAAACAAUAAAAAUUUCAAUAGAAAAGAAAGAAUAGAAACUGGCAACAUCCUCAACUUUGUUCAUAUUGUUCAGACGAAUAAACUGUUGGGCUCACCUACACCAAAAAGCCUGGAAGUCAAAGACAUCUUUGCUGUCUUGAAGUAGAAAACAACUUUAAAACAUGAUGCUCAAGUCAAAAACAGUCUCAGAAAAAGAAUACUAUCAAAAGACACAUUUGAACAGAGGUUAACCCUAACCCAGGAUGAUGAAGAAAAAUCUGUCAACUUGGGCAGCAUUAUCACCAAAUCAUCUACUGUAAAAACAAAAAUGGCAUUGGGUAGUUUAUCUCAACCAAAUCUUUUCCAAAAUAAACUGCUUGGUUUGCAAAAGCUACUUCCAUUUCCACAAACGAAUCUCAGACUAAUAAAAAGAAAGCUUUGCAACGCAGCUCUUUGCUGGGCCACACACAUGAAACUAAAGAUUUCAUUGGUAG